GACGAACGCUGGCGGCGCGCUUAACACAUGCAAGUCGAGCGAGAACCAGUCCUUCGGGACUGGGGACAGCGGCGAACGGGUGAGUAACACGUGGGUAAUCUGCCCUCGGCACCGGAAUAGCCCGGGGAAACCCGGAUUAAUGCCGGAUGGCCUCUCUGCCCCUCGGGGCGGUGAGAAAAGGUAGCUUCGGCCUCCGGCCGAGGAUGAGCCCGCGGCCGAUUAGCUUGUUGGUGGGGUAACGGCGCACCAAGGCGACGAUCGGUAGCUGGUCUGAGAGGACGAUCAGCCACACUGGGACUGAGACACGGCCCAGACUCCUACGGGAGGCAGCAGUGGGGAAUCUUGCGCAAUGGGCGAAAGCCUGACGCAGCGACGCCGCGUGCGGGAAGAAGGCCUUCGGGUUGUAAACCGCUUUCAGGAGGGACGAAGCCACUCGGGUGAAUAGCCUAGAGGGUGACGGUACCUCCAGAAGAAGCCCCGGCUAACUACGUGCCAGCCGCCGCGGUAAGAC
rnacentral:rRNA from 1 species